UCGGAAUGUGCCUUUCAAGAAGCAUUGGAUACUUAAAAGGAGCCGCAGAAUCUUUGACCCCUUUCCCACUUUGUCUUUUCCAUUAUGCUUCCUUGUAAAAGAGAGCUCCGGAAAGCUCACGACAGACUUGCAGAUGUUCGUCACAAAAGCCUGGACCCCAAGCAGACGCUCACUCCCGUGGCUCAGUGGUGCAGGAGCCGCAGAAUUCCCGAUGAGAAAGACUGUGUGUGUGCCUCUGUGGCGACGUCGGUGGGAUGAUGCCAGAAGGCUGCUCCAAUCUGGCCCUGGAGACGUGAGGGAGGAUUGCCGGGAGACAGUUGUAUGUAGUCCAGAUUGCUCAGCCUGGAAGGGCAGACGCCCACCCGGCCUCAUCUUCAGCACAGAGGAAACUUACUGGCUCUAAUAGCUCCAAGGCACUGGGGCCGAGGGCAGCUCCUGCUGCAGAAACUGUUGGACCCAAGCAACUAAGCCACUGUUCCUCUCAGGCAGACAUUUCCAAGGGGGCGUGUCUAGCAGCUUUGGUUCACUUCCUCCCGGCUUCAUAUUCAGCUGAAAAAUGAGCUUAUGUUUCCUAAGAAUUUCAAUACUAAGUCCCAGAAUUGGGUCAUGUGCAUAUUUGCAGAGCUCAGAGGUAGACCUCUCAUCAUGUAAGGCAGGGGCAGAUGGAGGGAAGUGAGAUCCAGGGGAAGCAUAGAUGGGAGGUGUCCAUGGCUCUGACUCACAUCAGAUUAGCUCUGGAUUUGGGGACACCAGGCCUGGGGUGGAGCAAGGGGAAGAGCGAUGGGUUGAGGGUGCCUGCCACCUGGAAGACCUCCUUUUUGUCAAAAGUCAGCCCAGUACUUCAAACAUGGUCCAACCAGUGAGAGGCAUAAAGGGACGAUCUCCAUAUUCCUGGCCUUGGCCUUUAAUGAAGCCCCAGCCUGGAAUGCACAUGACCUUCUGAAGCUUCAACACAACUGCUGGGCAUUCAGGUGAUGCCUGUGGGACCUCUGCACAUGAAUUGUCCUUAAGGCACUUGGUCCCUAUCCUUUCUCAGAUGAAGAGUUAGUUAUAUAGAUUUAGCUUUUAGUUCUGUCUCUCCAGCUUCAGGGGACAUUUUCUGGGAUGAGAAAAGAACACUUAAUGCAAUCUUGCCUCUCUUCAUCUUUUUCUUCCUUUGAAAAUAAUCACAACAAAGCCUUGUCAUAAUUUUAAAAUUCAAAGCUUGGCUGGGCUCAGUAAGCCAGGGUCUAACUUGGACUUGGACAUCAAUGCCAGCCAGAACCCAGCUCAGCCUGGAUCCUUGCUGAGUUGUUUAUCUUCCCCUGAUCUUGAUCUUAACACUCUCUUGUGAAGGCUUUUUGGGAG